UACGUAGGUGACAGGCGUUGUCCGGAUUUACUGGGCGUAAAGAGCGCGCAGGCGGUCGUUCAAGUCGAGUGUGAAAGCCCCCGGCUCAACUGGGGAGGGUCAUUCGAUACUGAUCGACUCGAAGGCAGGAGAGGGUAGUGGAAUUCCCGGUGUAGUGGUGAAAUGCGUAGAUAUCGGGAGGAACACCAGUGGCGAAGGCGACUACCUGGCCUGUUCUUGACGCUGAGGCGCGAAAGCUAGGGGAGCAAACGGG
rnacentral:rRNA from 1 species